CGUGUAGGCGGUUUGUUAAGUCUGAUGUGAAAGCCCCGGGCUCAACCUGGGAAGUGCAUUGGAUACUGGCAGACUUGAAUACGGGAGAGGGUAGUGGAAUUCCUGGUGUAGGAGUGAAAUCCGUAGAUAUCAGGAGGAACACCGGUGGCGAAGGCGGCUGCCUGGACCGAUAUUGACGCUGAGACGCGAAAGCGUGGGGAGCAAACAG
rnacentral:rRNA from 1 species